CUCAGGGCCGGGGGCCGGGUACCAGCAAGGACCGAUGAGGUCCCUCUGGCAUCAUGAAGUUCACAUUCGGGAGGGGAAACACCGAAUAGAAGCGAAUGCUACAGUUUGCAGACCCUGAAAAGCUCCCUUGAAACCAGGACAGGCGAUUGUAGGCCAGAGUGAUGGGGGUGAGGAAGGGCAUCCCAGAAGAGGUGACGUUUGACUUGAGAACUGAGAGGGGAGAGGGAGCCUGCCCCCCUGAGCAUAGCGUUCCGGGCCCGGGAACCUUAGGGUGGGGGACUGUCUGUCCCCUUACCAACCUGUCUGUCCGCGUAAGGCCAGUGAAAAUGCCUCGUGUAAAAGCAGCUCAAGCUGGAAGACAGGGCCCUGGAAAGAGACGACUUGCAGAACACUUUGCAGCUGGGGAGAUAAUCACUGAUAUGACGAAGAAGGAGUGGAAAUUAGGAUCGCCCAUUGGCCAGGGUGGCUUCGGUUGUAUAUAUCUUGCUGAUGUGAACUCUUCAAAAUCGGUGGGAAGCGAUGCACCCUGUGUUGUAAAAGUGGAGCCCAGUGACAAUGGACCUCUCUUUACUGAACUGAAGUUCUACCAGCGAGCUGCCAAACCAGAGCAAAUUCAGAAGUGGAUUCGCACCCAUAAACUGAAGUACCUGGGCGUUCCUAAGUACUGGGGCUCUGGCCUACAUGAUAAAAAUGGAAAAAGUUACAGGUUUAUGAUAAUGGAUCGCUUUGGGAGUGACCUUCAGAAAAUAUAUGAAGCAAAUGCCAGAAGGUUUUCUCGGAAAACUGUCUUGCAGCUAAGCUUGAGAAUUCUGGAUAUUCUGGAAUAUAUUCACGAGCAUGAGUAUGUACAUGGAGAUAUCAAGGCCUCAAAUCUUCUUUUGAGCUACAAGAAUCCUGACCAGGUGUACUUGGUAGAUUACGGCCUUGCUUACCGGUAUUGCCCAGAAGGAAUUCAUAAAGAAUACAAAGAAGACCCCAGAAGAUGUCAUGAUGGCACUAUUGAAUUCACCAGCAUUGACGCGCACAAUGGUGUCGCCCCGUCAAGACGUGGUGAUUUGGAAAUCCUUGGCUAUUGCAUGAUUCAGUGGCUUAGUGGCCAUCUUCCUUGGGAGGAUAAUUUGAAAGACCCUAACUAUGUUAGAGAUUCCAAAAUUAGAUACAGAGAAAAUAUUGCAGAUUUCAUGGACAAAUGUUUUCCUGAGAGAAACAAGCCAGAUGAGAUUGCUAAAUACAUGGAAACAGUGAAAUUACUGGACUAUGCCGAGAAACCUCUUUAUCAGAACUUGCGAGACACUCUUUUGCAAGGACUGAGAGCUAUAGGAAGCAAGGAUGACGGCAAGUUGGACCUCAGCCUCGUGGAGAACGGAGGCUUGAGAACAAAGUCAAUAACGAAGCGCAAGAAAGGAAUUGAGGAGAGCACCGAAUCCAGUGUUGAAGAUAUGGAAUGGUCAGAUACACAGACAGAAGAGGCCACAAAAACCCGUGCUGCAGCCCUGAAAUAAGUCUUUGCUCUGCCAUGCAAAGUGUUCAGAAAGCAAAGGUGGCUGAAAUUACAUGAAAAUGGCUUCCAAGGCCCUGUCUGUUCCUGUAGAGGUCAGAGAAAGCACACCCUGCAGAAACACGAUUCGAGGCACUGUUCUAAACACCGCAGGCAUGAACUCCUUUCAUCCUCACAAAACCCUACAGAGGAGGUGCUAUCGUCACCCCCAUUUUGCGCACGAGGGAGCUGAGGUUAAGUGGCUUGCACAAGAUUGCCCAACCGGCCCGUUGCUGCUCCCCUGCAGAUCCAGAGCCCGUCACAGGCCCGCUCAGACCCUCCAGGGGCCACUCUGGCGCCUCGAGGAGGAAGCCCCCGCAGCCCUUGGCGUGGGAUACUGGGAGGCUGGAAGAAAGGACAGAUGAGGGCUCAGGUACAGAUGCUCGGAGCCUCGCCUGGAGGCCUACGCAGAGGAUGAACGCGGCAAAGAUGCUCCUGCUGGUCUGUGCACCAAGCCUGCCCGUGUGGCCAUUCCUGUCUAGCCCGGGUGAGUGAGGCCAUCUGA